UUGGUGCUAUUGAUAGUAUAGUAGCCGGACUCUAUAUAUAUGUGUUUGAGUGUUGAAAAAUAUUUUCUCUUUAAUUUCACUUUUGUUUUAGUCCCAAAAUUUUUGGACUGUUUUCCAUGUUUUCAUUGAGAGUCUAAAAGGAAAUUGAGAGAAUAUCUUGAAAGCUCAAAAAGAAUGAAAUGAUUGAAAACUAAUCUGGCCUCAUGUUGGAUCAUAAUUUGUUUACUUUGCAUCAUUUGCGAGUCUUUGAUUCUUAAAUGAGUUAAAGAUUGUUAACAUAAGAAUACAUAGAGAAACAGUAGAAUGCAUUAAAUUAGAUAGAGGAUAGGAUGAUCUUGAUUUAAAUUUUAAUCAUACAAUAUAACGGAACUUUAGUUUAUACUAUUGGAAGAUCCACCUCAAUGGUGUUUUGCUAGAUUUUAGUAACUAGGAAGCAUAGUUCCGAAUUGAUGCAAGUACUUCAGUUGUUUGUCUGAGUGAAGGGCAGGUGAUGAAGUGAAACUUCAAAGUAAUAUAAAACAGAUGGCUUCUAAGGAUUGGAAUUCCUCGUAGUUAUGAAGUCAAGUUCUCAAACCUUCACUUUCGACUUCUAUAAACUGACCUUCAACUGAACAACCCCUUCAUAUGUAAAAUUUGGAGCUCCUUUCUUUUUUCCCUUUGAUGGGGGAUAUUGCUUAUGUAGUUGGAAUCUUCUUUUUUUCUUGUAAUUUUUCAAUUGAUCAUCACCUUCCUUUCCAAAGAGGAUCUGCAUCAACUGAAACAAAGCCCUCGUCAUCAGCAAAGACUCUUAACUACUAAGGUCAGAGCUGAACAGCACCCAAGAAAACUAGGCAAUGCUGGGAGAUUUCGACAUCUGAAAAUUUUUUCUGCAGCAAUAAACAGAAGCCGGAAUCUCGAUGCAAGUUAAACAACAUGAUAAAAGCCUUUGAUGUGAUCAACAGAGUGGAGAUCCUAAAGUUAUAAGCCCUCACAUGGUUUAUAAAUAUAAUGAAGCAGCUUUUGCUUGAAGUGUGAAAACUGUGAAUGGCUUUUUUUUUGGUGUGUGAGAGAGAUUGUUGUCAUUUGAUGAUAGUAUCACAUGUGUUCUACAUUUAUAUGCUGCUUUUCUAGCUUCAAGAAAAGUAAUUCAUCAGUAAAUCUGGAAACUGAAGGGGGUUAAUUGCA